rnacentral:rRNA from 1 species
CCUUGUUAUACCGCCUAUAUACCGCCGUCGUCAGCCUACCCUGUGAAGGACUAGAAGUAAGCAAGAUUGGUAAGACCCAAAACGUCAGGUCGAGGUGUAGUGUAUGAGAGGGGAAGAAAUGGGCUACAUUUCCUAAAUCAGGAAAUACGAACAAUGGACUGAAAUAAACAUUAGAAGGUGGAUUUAGCAGUAAGCAGAAAAAUAGAGUGUUCUGCUGAAGUAUGGCAAUAAAGCACGCACAUAUCGCCCGUCACUCUCCCCGAGCUUAACACAAAAACAUACCUAAAAAAUUACAUCUGCAAAGGGGAGGCAAGUCGUAACAUGGUAAGCGUACCGGAAGGUGCGCUUGGAAUAAU